GAUGAACGCUAGCUACAGGCUUAACACAUGCAAGUCGAGGGGAAACGAUGAGAGAGCUUGCUCUCUUAGGCGUCGACCGGCGCACGGGUGAGUAACGCGUAUCCAACCUACCCAUUACAGGGGGAUAACCUUGCGAAAGUAAGACUAAUACCCCAUGGCAUUUUAUGGUGGCAUCAUUAUAGGAUUAAAGAUUUAUUGGUAAUGGAUGGGGAUGCGUCUGAUUAGCUUGUUGGCGGGGUAACGGCCCACCAAGGCAACGAUCAGUAGGGGUUCUGAGAGGAAGGUCCCCCACAUUGGAACUGAGACACGGUCCAAACUCCUACGGGAGGCAGCAGUGAGGAAGAUUGGUCAAUGGGCGAGAGCUUGAACCAGCCAAGUAGCGUGCAGGAUGACGGCCCUAUGGGUGGUAAACUGCUUUUAGAGGGGAAUAAAGUGAGCUACGUGUAGUUUAUUGCAUGUACCCUAUGAAUAAGAACCGGCUAAUUCCGUG
rnacentral:rRNA from 1 species